rnacentral:lncRNA from 1 species
AAGUGGAGGAAUUUGGGGGCAGUGAAAGCUGUGUGUGCCCAUGUGAGAAGACUGGGCCAAGAGGGCACCCCUGGGGGUACAGAGACAGUGCCCAUGGGAGUCCGUGGUGCACAGCAGCCACCCAGCUCUGCCUCUUGAAUGGAUGGAGACAGAGUCCCUCCGCAGACAUAAGAGGACGAGAGCUCUGGCCCAGAGGCCAGUGCCCUCUGCAGUUUCCCAGGGACAGGAGCCCAUGCCUGCUAGAGACAGAGGGCGGACACGGAGCCUGGGUGGGCUUGAUCAGCAUGCAGACUGAGCCUCCUUUAGCCCGUUUCCCUGCCCCUUUGCACAGGCUCUGAAGACAAGUUACAGGACAUGAGAAGAAACCCCAGGUGGCCUCCCCAUCAGCAGGUGAGCGGGUAGAGUCCUGACCAGAUGCCAGAGCAGUUUAAGAUGUCACUUCAUCCAGAGGGCAGAGGACAAGCAGGAGACCAACAGAGGCCCAGGUGGUCCAAGGAGCACUGGGGAGGAGGAGGCCAGCAUCGCUGGAACGCGCUGUCUCUGUCUCGGACAAACGGGAUCAGACGUGUGAGGUCGUGGUGGUGCCUGAAAACCAGAACUGACUCCGUGGGAAGACUCAGAACCAGAUGCUCCAGCACCGUUAUCCCAGGGGCCUCGCCCACACCCCCAGCCCAUGGGGCCACAGAAGAGCAAGCAACAACCACCACCCAUCCCCAGCUGGAUCCAUCUUUUCCAUCACCAGUCGUUACCAGGCUCCUGCCAUGUGCCAUGAACAGUCCGGGCAAUGGAGACCUGAAGACCAGUCUUUGCUCAAGGAACUCAUCACCACAUCGGUGA